rnacentral:lncRNA from 1 species
CUCAGAAGCAGUCACCUCACUCCCCUCAGGUUACUGUACACAUGCACCAACUGCCUGCUUCAGGUUUGGAUGGAGCUUCAUGGUUGUCUUUUGGAGAAAUGACCAGUCAAGUUGUGUUUGAAAUUUGAUUUUUUUCAGGGGCAAAAGGAGCCUCUGCAUUCUUGUCAAAUAUGUAAAUAGCAUGUUUUUGCAGGUGCUAAAAACCAGACUCUGAGUGUGUGUGUGUGUGUGUGUGUGUGUGUGUGUGUGUGUGUGUGUGUGUGUGUGUGUGUGUGUGCGCGUUCAAGUCACAUGACAUAUUUAACCGGAUGUAGCUGCAAGACGGAGCCUCGUUGACUCUCCGUUUCAAUUUAUCUCAAAAGUGAGGACCUCAACCUAUAUACCAGUUUUUAAAUUGUGUUGAUAGGCCAAGUAAAACCAGAGUUAUGAUAAAUUAUGUCCACGAUACUUGUUUUCUGCUUAUUUUGAUCACGUUCGGCGCUCGAUCGCGCUGUAUGAGACAGGAAAACAUAGCAUGCAGACAUUAGCGACAGGUCUUACAGGCGGAAAAGGCUUGCCAAAGGAAAAAAAAAAACACACCACAACAUCUCUCCUAUUGGUGGAAAACUUCACCACAACAACCAAUCCAAAAUUAUAUGGUGACUGAUUGACAAGGGGCGGGAACUUACGUUCUUCCUGCAAUAUGAGAAGGGAGGGAGGGACUCUCAGCAGGGAUGCAGUCUGGGACACGUAGUUGCAAACCUAGCGACUUUGUUGUUAGAUUCAAUGACUUUUCAGACCCCCUAACGACUUUUUUUUAGAAAGAAAGUGACUUUUAUCGACUUCUUCUGGAGUUUAGAGACUCUGACAUGAAGCAGGCUUUCCUUACUGAGGAGUUAGCAACGCUGCUAAGGGUGCAGAGCCACACAUGCGCUCCGAGCUCUGCAUGGGAGACUGAAGCUGACAGAGCUGCAGCAGUUAGCAGGUUUCACCCUCAGAGACCACCAGGGGUUCAUGUUGAGGCAUUUUCAGUUUUUUUUUUUUUUUUUUGCCAUAGACACUGUCAGCACAAUCUGCAGUUACACUAACAAAAAUGCUGCAAAAAACAAAGAAUUAUGGAAAAAUUACACAUGGACUAACAUAGAGGAGGAUCUACACAAGUUUUUUACAUCAUGUUUUACAUCAUGCAUCAUUUACAUCAUGUUUUUUUGUAGUGGCAUAAAUAUAAAGUGACAUUUGUGAGACUAUACAGUGUUUUGUAAAUAAUUUUACAAAGAACACUUGGGCCAUUGCCUGCAUUUUGAUGUCAAUAGAGGUAAAUUACUAUGUUCUUUGUUAAAAAUUUGCAUAUGUUUUGAAGUUUACAAUUUUUAUUUGAAGUUUAAGUUUUAAAAACAGUUCAUCACACAUAUUUGUGGUUUUCACAGUAAAAACGUUACUUUUUUCCACUCGGAUUUUAUGUUUUGUGUGUGAAUUUGGGUCCAAUGUGUAAAUAUAGUAUGUCAAAAUGAUAAAAUAACUGUAAAUUGACACAGGUGAGGUUGUGCUGAAAAAAAUGAUACCAGGCAAGGCAAGGUAAAAAUUUUGUAAGAGGAAAUAUAAAGGUAAAAUCUAAAGUAGUCAAAAACGGCCAAUAGUGACUCACAGACUCCACAGACAAGUCCCUUUGGCGCCACUCAGUGGGCAAAACUACUUUGUCUACUGUAAUGUAUAUUUGGGUCAUCUUUGGCGCCCCCUAAAACGUAAACCGUGGGGUGCAGCGUCAUGAUUUUUACAACUUUGAAUGGCCAUGGAGUGUAGAUUGGCCUGAGCAAAUUUGGUGUCAGUGGGACGAAAGCCUUAGGAGGAGUUAGCGAAAUUCCAAUGUGUGCGAAUCGGCAAAAAAUGCAAAAUAGCCCUUUUACCGUACAUUAUACAGAUACGCGCUCUUUGACUUUUUCGUAGAUCUAAUUGAGAUACACAUGAUUGUCAAUUUUUGUGUCAUUUUGCCAAAGCGUACAGGCGUGACAGUCAACAAUGUGUAUUUUCACCUUAGGGGACAAGAAAAAAUGGACUUUUUUCUCCUGCCAUGGGGGGGGGCACUCUUUUGGGGAGUAAAAAUUCCUUCACAAAUGUGUUGAUGGCUGGACAUUGCAUCAUCCUAGAAAACUUGGAGGCCAGUGAGGACAAAAAUAAAAAGUUAUAAGACUUUUAAAAAUGUGGAUUUUUGGGUUAUCUUUGGCGCCCCCUAGAACAUAAACCGUGGGGUGCAGCGUCAUGAUUUGAAUAACUUUUAAUGGCCAUGGGGUGUAAUUUGGCCUGAGCAAAUGUGGUGCCGGUGGAACGAAAGCCUUCGGAGGAGUUAGCGAAAUUCCAAUGUGUGCGAAUCGGCAAAAAAUGCGGAAUAACCCUUUAACCGUACAUUAGACAGAUACGCGCGCACUGACUUUUUUGUAGAUCUUAUUGAGAUACAUGUGUGUGUCAAUUUUUGUGUCAUUUUGACAAAGCGUACAGGCGUGACACUCAACAAUGUGUAUUUUCACCUUAGGGGACAAGAAAAAAAUGGACUUUUUUCUCCUGCCAUGGGGGGCGCUCUUUUGGGGAGUAAAAAUUCCUUCACAAAUGUGUUGAUGGCUGGACAUUGCAUCAUCCUAGAAAACUUGGAGGCCAGUGAGGGCAAAAAUAAAAAGUUAUAAGACUUUUAAAAAUGUGGAUUUUAGGGUUAUCUUUGGCGCCCCCUAGAACCUAAACCGUGGGGUGCAGCGUCAUGAUUUGAAUAACUUUUAAUGGCCAUGGGGUGUAGAUUGGCCUGAGCAAAUGUGGUGCCGGUGGAACGAAAGCCUUCGGAGGAGUUAGCGAAAUUCCAAUGUGUGCGGAUCGGCAAAAAAUGCAAAAUAACCCUUUAACCGUACAUUUGACAGAUACGCCCGCACUGACUUUUUUGUAGAUCUUAUUGAGAUACAUGUGUGUGUCAAUUUUUGUGUCAUUUUGACAAAGCGUACAGGCGUGACAGUCAAUAGUGUGAAUUUUCACCUUAGGGGGCGCUAUGGAGCCAUUUUGCAUUUUCUUGUUUGGGCGACUUCGGAAUAUCAAAUUUUUCACCAGGCCCGGUCGUCCUGCCAAAUUUCCUGAGUUUUCGCCAGUGGGAAGUGGGCCAUUUUCCAGUUCAAAGGGGAGGAAAAAGAAGAAAGAAAGAAACAACUAGGGCCCCGGUGGGGCACUGUCGGGCCCGAGCCGCGUCGCGCCGCCCCCAGCGCGACCGCCUCCCCCUCCCGAUCGCGUCACACUCAAGGUCCAAAGAUGGUGUGCGCACUUGUCUGUGGUCAUUUCCCAUUAUAAUGAAUGGGAGGCGCAGUUUCUACCAAAACACUCGCUGCAGACAAACUUCAUGUCCUAUUUGAAAAAAGUCUGGACCAUGAGUGAGGGCACAAACACAGCUAUGAUAUAUCGAAAUGGCAGGUUGCUCCUCCUUACGGUGUUGCCUGGAGAGCGAUGCGAUUGAGCCAUUGAGCGAUGGGCAGGUUAAACUUGACUUUUUCUCCUGCCUUGGGGGGGGGGGGAUGUGGAUUCCUUUAAGAAUGUGGAUUUUUGGGUCAUCUUUGGCGCCCCCUAGAACGUAAACCGUGGGGUGCAGCGUCAUGAUUUUUACAACUUUGCAUGGCCAUGGGGUGUAGAUUGGCCUGAGCAAAUUUGGUGUCAGUGGGACGAAAGCCUUAGGAGGAGUUAGCCACAUUCCAAUGUGUGCGAAUCGGCAAAAAAUGCAAAAUAGCCCUUUAACCGUACAUUUUACAGAUACGCGCGCAUUGACUUUUUUGUAGAUCUUAUUGAGAUACAUAUGUGUGUCAAUUUUUGUGUCAAUAUGAUAAAGCGUACAGGCGUGACAGUCAAUAGUGUGAAUUUCCACCUUAGGGGACAAGAAAAAAUUGACUUUUUUCUCCUGCCAUGGGGGGGCGCUCUUUUGGGGAGUAAAAAUUCCUUCACAAAUGUGUUGAUGGCUGGACAUUGCAUCAUCCUAGAAAACUUGGAGGCCAGUGAGGACAAAAAUAAAAAGUUAUAAGACUUUUAAAUAUGUGGAUUUUAGUGUUAUCUUUGGCGCCCCCUAGAACCUAAACCGUGGGGUGCAGCGUCAUGAUUUGAAUAACUUUUAAUGGCCAUGGGGUGUAGAUUGGCCUGAGCAAAUGUGGUGCCGGUGGAACGAAAGCCUUCGGAGGAGUUAGCGAAAUUCCAAUGUGUGCGGAUCGGCAAAAAAUGCGGAAUAACCCUUUAACCGUACAUUUGACAGAUACGCGUGCUUUGACUUUUUCGUAGAUCUUAUUGAGAUACAUGUGUGUGUCAAUUUUUGUGUCAUUUUGCCAAAGCGUACAGGUGUUACACUCAACAAUGUGUAUUUUCACCUUAGGGGACAAGACAAAAUGGACUUUUUUCUCCUGCCAUGGGGGGGCGCUCUUUUGGGGAGUCAAAAUUCCUUCACAAAUGUGUUGAUGGCUGGACAUUGCAUCAUCCUAGAAAACUUGGAGGCCAGUGAGGGCAAAAAUAAAAAGUUAUAAGACUUUUAAAUAUGUGGAUCUUAGGGUUAUCUUUGGCGCCCCCUAGAACCUAAACCGUGGGGUGCAGCGUCAUGAUUUGAAUAACUUUUAAUGGCCAUGGGGUGUAGAUUGGCCUGAGCAAAUGUGGUGCCGGUGGAACGAAAGCCUUCGGAGGAGUUAGCGAAAUUCCAAUGUGUGCGGAUCGGCAAAAAAUGCGAAAUAACCCUUUAACCGUACAUUUGACAGAUACGCCCGCACUGACUUUUUUGUAGAUCUUAUUGAGAUACAUGUGUGUGUCAAUUUUUGUGUCAUUUUGACAAAGCGUACACGCGUGACAGUCAAUAGUGUGAAUUUUCACCUUAGGGGGCGCUAUGGAGCCAUUUUGCAUUUUCUUGUUUGGGCGACUUCGGAAUAUCAAAUUUUUCACCAGGCCCGGUCGUCCUGCCAAAUUUCAUGAGUUUUCGCCAGUGGGAAGUGGGCCAUUUUCCAGUUCAAAGGGGAGGAAAAAGAAGAAAGAAAGAAAGAAAGAAACAAAGACUAGGGCCCCGGUGGGGCACUGUCGGGCCCGAGCCGCGUCGUGCCGCCCCCAGCGUGACCGCCUACCCCUCCCGAUCGCGUCACACUCAAGGUCCAAAGAUGGUGUGCGCACUUGUCUGUGGUCAUUUCCCAUUAUAAUGAAUGGGAGGCGCAGUUUCUACCAAAACACUCGCUGCAGACAAACUUCAUGUCCUAUUUGAAAAAAGUCUGGACCAUGAGUGAGGGCACAAACACAGCUGGGAUAUAUCCAAAUGGCAGGUUGCUCCUCCUUACGGUGUUGCCUGGAGAGCGAUGCGAUUGAGCCAUUGAGCGAUGGGCAGGAAAAACUUGACUUUUUCUACUGCCAUGGGGGGAGAAUGUGGAUUCUUUUAAGAAUGUGGAUUUUUUGGUCAUCUUUGGCGCCCCCUAGAACGUAAACCGUGGGGUGCAGCGUCAUGAUUUUUACAACUUUGAAUGGCCAUGGGGUGUAGAUUGGCCUGAGCAAAUUUGGUGUCAGUGGGACGAAAGCCUUAGGAGGAGUUAGCCACAUUCCAAUGUGUGCGAAUCGGCAAAAAAUGCAAAAUAGCCCUCUAACCGUACAUUUGACAGAUACGCACCCAUUGACUUUUUCGUAGAUCUUAUUGAGAUACACGUGAUUGUCAAAUUUUGUGUCAAUAUGACAAAGCGUACAGGUGUCACACUCAACAAUGUGAAUUUUCACCUUACGGGACAAGAAAAAAUGGACUUUUUUCUCCUGCCAUGGGGGGGCGCUCUUUUGGGGAGUAAAAAUUCCUUCACAAAUGUGUUGAUGGCUGGACAUUGCAUUAUCCUAGAAAACUUGGAGGCCAGUGAGGACAAAAAUAAAAAGUUAUAAGACUUUGAAAUAUGUGGAUUUUAGGGUUAUCUUUGGCGCCCCCUAGAACCUAAACCGUGGGGUGCAGUGUCAUGAUUUGAAUAACUUUUAAUGGCCAUGGGGUGUAGAUUGGCCUGAGCAAAUGUGGUGCCGGUGGAACGCCAGCCUUAGGAGGAGUUAGCGAAAUUCCAAUGUGUGCGGAUCAGCAAAAAAUGCGGAAUAACCCUUUAACCGUACAUUUGACAGAUACGCGCGCAUUGACUUUUUCGUAGAUCUUAUUGAGAUACACGUGAUUGUCAAAUUUUGUGUCAAUAUGACAAAGCGUACAGGCGUGACACUCAACAAUGUGUAUUUUCACCUUAGGGGACAAGAAAAAAUGGACUUUUUUCUCCGGCCAUGGGGGGCGCUCUUUUGGGGAGUAAAAAUUCCUUCACAAAUGUGUUGAUGGCUGGACAUUGCAUCAUCCUAGAAAACUUGGAGGCCAGUGAGGGCAAAAAUAAAAAGUUAUAAGACUUUGAAAUAUGUGGAUUUUAGGGUUAUCUUUGGCGCCCCCUAGAACCUAAACCGUGGGGUGCAGCGUCAUGAUUUGAAUAACUUUUAAUGGCCAUGGGGUGUAGAUUGGCCUGAGCAAAUGUGGUGCCGGUGGAAAGAAAGCCUUCGGAGGAGUUAGCGAAAUUCCAAUGUGUGCGGAUCGGCAAAAAAUGCGGAAUAACCCUUUAACCGUACAUUUGACAGAUACGCCCGCACUGACUUUUUUGUAGAUCUUAUUGAGAUACAUAUGUGUGUCAAUUUUCGUGUCAUUUUGACAAAGCGUAAAGGCGUGACAGUCAAUAGUGUGAAUUUUCACCUUAGGGGGCGCUAUGGAGCCAUUUUGCAUUUUCUUGUUUGGGCGACUUCGGAAUAUCAAAUUUUUCACCAGGCCCGGUCAUCCUGCCAAAUUUCAUGAGUUUUCGCCAGUGGGAAGUGGGCCAUUUUCCAGUUCAAAGGGGAGGAAAAAGAAGAAAGAAAGAAACAACUAGGGCCCCAGUGGGGCACUGUCGGGCCCGAGCCGCGUUGCGCCGCCCCCAGCGCGACCGCCUCCCCCUCCCGAUCGCGUCACAUUCAAGGUCCAAAGAUGGUGUGCGCACUUGUCUGUGGUCAUUUCCCAUUAUAAUGAAUGGGAGGCGCAGUUUCUACCAAAACACUCGCUGCAGACAAACUACAUGUCCUAUUUGAAAAAAGUCUGGACCAUGAGUGAGGGCACAAACACAGCUAGGAUAUAUCCAAACGGCAAGUUGCUCCUUGUUACGGUGUUGCCGGGAGAGUGAUGCGAUUGAGCCAUUGAGUGAUGGGCAGGAAAAACUUGACUGUUUCUCCUGCCAUGGGGGUUGGGGGAUGGGGGGGGAUGUGGAUUCUUUUAAGAAUGUGGAUAUUUGGGUCAUCUUUGGCGCCCCCUAGAACGUAAACCGUGGGGUGCAGCGUCAUGAUUUUUACAACUUUGAAUGACCAUGGGGUGUAGAUUGGCCUGAGCAAAUUUGGUGUCAGUGGGACGAAAGCCUUAGGAGGAGUUUGCCACAUUCCAAUGUGUGCGAAUCGGCAAAAAAUGCAAAAUAGCCCUUUAACCGUACAUUUGACAGAUACGCGCACAUUGACUUUUUUGUAGAUCUUAUUGAGAUACAUGUGAUUGUCAAAUUUUGUGUCAAUAUGAUAAAGCGUACAGGCGUGACAGUCAAUAGUGUGAAUUUCCACCUUAGGGGACAAGAAAAAAUUGACUUUUUUCUCCUGCCAUGGGGGGGCGCUCUUUUGGGGAGUAAAAAUUCCUUCACAAAUGUGUUGAUGGCUGGACAUUGCAUCAUCCUAGAAAACUUGGAGGCCAGUGAGGACAAAAAUAAAAAGUUAUAAGACUUUUAAAUAUGUGGAUUUUAGGGUUAUCUUUGGCGCCCCCUAGAACCUAAACCGUGGGGUGCAGCGUCAUGAUUUGAAUACCUUUUAAUGGCCAUGGGGUGUAGAUUGGCCUGAGCAAAUGUGGUGCCGGUGGAAAGAAAGCCUUCGGAGGAGUUAGCGAAAUUCCAAUGUGUGCGGAUCGGCAAAAAAUGCGGAAUAACCCUUUAACCGUACAUUUGACAGCUACGCGCGCAUUGACUUUUUCGUAGAUCUUAUUGAGAUACAUGUGUGUGUCAAUUUUUGUGUCAUUUUGCCAAAGCGUACAGGUGUUACACUCAACAAUGUGUAUUUUCACCUUAGGGGACAAGAAAAAAUGGACUUUUUUCUCCUGCCAUGGGGGGGCGCUCUUUUGGGGAGUAAAAAUUCCUUCACAAAUGUGUUGAUGGCUGGACAUUGCAUCAUCCUAGAAAACUUGGAGGCCAGUGAGGGCAAAAAUAAAAAGUUAUAAGACUUUUAAAUAUGUGGAUCUUAGUGUUAUCUUUGGCGCCCCCUAGAACCUAAACCGUGGGGUGCAGCGUCAUGAUUUGAAUAACUUUUAAUGGCCAUGGGGUGUAGAUUGGCCUGAGCAAAUGUGGUGCCGGUGGAACGAAAGCCUUCGGAGGAGUUAGCGAAAUUCCAAUGUGUGCGGAUCGGCAAAAAAUGCGAAAUAACCCUUUAACCGUACAUUUGACAGAUACGCCCGCACUGACUUUUUUGUAGAUCUUAUUGAGAUACAUGUGUGUGUCAAUUUUUGUGUCAUUUUGACAAAGCGUACAGGCGUGACAGUCAAUAGUGUGAAUUUUCACCUUAGGGGGCGCUAUGGAGCCAUUUUGCAUUUUCUUGUUUGGGCGACUUCGGAAUAUCAAAUUUUUCACCAGGCCCGGUCGUCCUGCCAAAUUUCAUGAGUUUUCGCCAGUGGGAAGUGGGCCAUUUUCCAGUUCAAAGGGGAGGAAAAAUAAUAAUAACAAAAGAAGGAAACUACAGGAACAAGAGGGCUCUCGCAGCUGCUUAGCAGCUACGCUCGGGCCCUAACUAGGACCCCGUUGGGGCACUGUCGGGCCCGAGCCGUGUCGCGCCGCCCCCAGUGCGACCGCCUCCCCCUCCCGAUCGCGUCACACUCAAGAUCCAAAGAUGGUGUGCGCACUUGUCUGUGGUCAUUUCCUAUUAUAAUGAAUGGGAGGCGCAGUUUCUACCAAAACACUCGCUGCAGACAAACUUCAUGUCCUAUUUGAAAAAAGUCUGGACCAUGAGUGAGGGCACAAACACAGCUAUGAUAUAUCGAAAUGGCAGGUUGCUCCUCCUUACGGUGUUGCCUGGAGAGCGAUGCGAUUGAGCCAUUGAGCGAUGGGCAGGAAAAACUUGACUUUUUCUCCUGCCAUAGGGGGGGGGAUGUGGAUUCUUUGAAGAAUGUGGAUUUUUGGGUUAUCUUUGGCGCCCCCUAGAACGUAAACCGUGGGGUGCAGCGUCAUGAUUUUUACAACUUUGAAUGGCCGUGGGGUGUAGAUUGGCCUGAGCAAAUUUGGUGUCAGUGGGACGAAAGCCUUAGGAGGAGUUAGCCACAUUCCAAUGUGUGCGAAUCGGCAAAAAAUGCAAAAUAGCCCUUUAACCGUACAUUUGACAGAUACGCGCGAAUCGACUCUUUUGUAGAUCUUAUUGAGAUACAUAUGUGUGUCAAUUUUUGUGUCAAUAUGAUAAAGCGUACAGGCGUGACAGUCAAUAGUGUGAAUUUCCACCUUAGGGGACAAGAAAAAAUUGGCUUUUUUUUCCUGCCAUGGGGGGCGCUCUUUUGGGCAGUAAAAAUUCCUUCACAAAUGUGUUGAUGGCUGGACAUUGCAUCAUCCUAGAAAACUUGGAGGCCAGUGAGGACAAAAAUAAAAAGUUAUAAGACUUUUAAAUAUGUGGAUUUUAGGGUUAUCUUUGGCGCCCCCUAGAACCUAAACCGUGGGAUGCAGCGUCAUGAUUUGAAUAACUUUUAAUGGCCAUGGGGUGUAGAUUGGCCUGAGCAAAUGUGGUACCGGUGGAAUGAAAGCCUUCGGAGGAGUUAGCGAAAUUCCAAUGUGUGCGGAUCGGCAAAAAAUGCGGAAUAACCCUUUAACCGUACAUUUGACAGAUACGCGCGCAUUGACUUUUUCGUAGAUCUUAUUGAGAUACAUGUGUGUGUCAAUUUUUGUGUCAUUUUGCCAAAGCGUACAGGUGUUACACUCAACAAUGUGUAUUUUCACCUUAGGGGACAAGAAAAAAUGGACUUUUUUCUCCUGCCAUGGGGGGGCGCUCUUUUGGGGAGUAAAAAUUCCUUCACAAAUGUGUUGAUGGCUGGACAUUGCAUCAUCCUAGAAAACUUGGAGGCCAGUGAGGGCAAAAAUAAAAAGUUAUAAGACUUUUAAAUAUGUGGAUCUUAGGGUUAUCUUUGGCGCCCCCUAGAACCUAAACCGUGGGGUGCAGCGUCAUGAUUUGAAUAACUUUUAAUGGCCAUGGGGUGUAGAUUGGCCUGAGCAAAUGUGGUGCCGGUGGAACGAAAGCCUUCGGAGGAGUUAGCGAAAUUCCAAUGUGUGCGGAUCGGCAAAAAAUGCGAAAUAACCCUUUAACCGUACAUUUGACAGAUACGCCCGCACUGACUUUUUUGUAGAUCUUAUUGAGAUACAUGUGUGUGUCAAUUUUUGUGUCAUUUUGACAAAGCGUACAGGCGUGACAGUCAAUAGUGUGAAUUUUCACCUUAGGGGGCGCUAUGGAGCCAUUUUGCAUUUUCUUGUUUGGGCGACUUCGGAAUAUCAAAUUUUUCACCAGGCCCGGUCGUCCUGCCAAAUUUCAUGAGUUUUCGCCAGUGGGAAGUGGGCCAUUUUCCAGUUCAAAGGGGAGGAAAAAUAAUAAUAACAAAAGAAGGAAACUACAGGAACAAGAGGGCUCUCGCAGCUGCUUAGCAGCUACGCUCGGGCCCUAAAAAACCCCUUGGGGAAUAAUAGGGCUCUCGCAGCUGCUUAGCAGCUACGCUCGGGCCCUAAAGACUAGGACCCCGUUGGGGCACUGGCGGGCCCGAGCUGUGUCGCGUCCCCCCCCCAACGCGCUGCCUCCCCGUCCCAUUUGUGUCCUCUGGCCAUCGCCCUCUCUGGUAACGCCCAUCACUGCAAAGACCCUUUUCCUUCAUCGGCGUUUGCUGUUCUUCCUGCCAGUGCGUGUUGCUUUCACUUACACUUGCCACAGCCAGCCUCUUGAGUGCCUAGCCUAUUGGAUAUCACUGUCACCUACUCAGGACAAUCAUUACCUUUCUAUUAAUACUUUGUUUUUUAAUUUCACAUUAAUUUCCAUAUUGUAUAAACAACUGGAAAAAACUUGAGCCCCUGCUCCUGUAUAAUCAUGUGCACGUCUCUGUUCUAGCUCUAAGGUGAAUCUUCACUGCUCAUGUUCUCCUCAGAAGCAGUCACCUCACUCCCCUCAGGUUACUGUACACAUGCACCAACUGCCUGCUUCAGGUUUGGAUGGAGCUUCAUGGUUGUCUUUUGGAGAAAUGAGCAGUCAAGUUGUGUUUGAAAUUUGAUUUUUUUCAGGGGCAAAAGGAGCCUCUGCAUUCUUGUCAAAUAUGUAAAUAGCAUGUUUUUGCAGGUGCUAAAAACCAGACUCUGAGUGUGUGUGUGUGCGUGUGUGUGUGUGUCUGUGUGUGUGUGUGUGUGUGUGUGUGUGUGUGCGUUCAAGUCACAUGACAUAUUUAACCGGAUGUAGCUGCAAGACGGAGCCUCGUUGACUCCGUUUCAACUUAUCUCAAAAGUGAGGACCUCAACCUAUAUACCAGUUUUUAAAUUGUGUUGAUAGGCCAAAUAAAACCAGAGUUAUGAUAAAUUAUGUCCGCGAUACUUGUUUUCUGCUUAUUUUGAUCACGUUCGGCGCUCGAUCGCGCUGUAUGAGACAGGAAAACAUAGCAUGCAGACAUUAGCGACAGGUCUUACAGGCGGAAAAGGCUUGCCAAAGGAAAAAAAAAACACACCACAACAUCUCUCCUAUUGGUGGAAAACUUCACCACAACAACCAAUCCAAAAUUAUAUGGUGACUGAUUGACAAGGGGCGGGCGCUUACGUUCUUCCUGCAAUAUGAGAAGGGAGGGAGGGACUCUCAACAGGGAUGCAGUCUGGGACACGUAGUUGCAAACCUAGCGACUUUGUUGUUAGAUUCAAUGACUUUUCAGACCCCCUAACGACUUUUUUUAGAAAGAAAGUGACUUUUAUCGACUUCUUCUGGAGUUUAGAGACUCUGACAUGAAGCAGGCUUUCCUUACUGAGGAGUUAGCAACGCUGCUAAGGGUGCAGAGCCACACAUGCGCUCAGAGCUCUGCAUGGGAGACUGAAGCUGACAGAGCUGCAGCAGUUAGCAGGUUUCACCCUCAGAGACCACCAGGGGUUCAUGUUGAGGCAUUUUCAGUUUUUUUUUUUUUUUUGCCAUAGACACUGUCAGCACAAUCUGCAGUUACACUAACAAAAAUGCUGCAAAAAACAAAGAAUUAUGGAAAAAUUACACAUGGACUAACAUAGAGGAGGAUCUACACAAGUUUUUUACAUCAUGUUUUACAUCAUGCAUCAUUUACAUCAUGUUUUUUUGUAGUGGCAUAAAUAAAAAGUGACAUUUGUGAGACUAUACAGUGUUUUGUAAAUAAUUUUACAAAGAACACCUGGGCCAUUGCCUGCAUUUUGAUGUGAAUAGAGGUAAAUUACUAUGUUCUUUGUUAAAAAUUUGCAUAUGUUUUGAAGUUUACAAUUUUUAUUUGAAGUUUAAGUUUUAAAAACAGUUCAUCACACAUAUUUGUGGUUUUCACAGUAAAAACGUUACUUUUUUCCACUCGGAUUUUAUGUUUUGUGUGUGAAUUUGGGUCCAAUGUGUAAAUAUAGUAUGUCAAAAUGAUAAAAUAACUGUAAAUUGACACAGGUGAGGUUGUGCUGAAAAGAAUGAUACCAGGCAAGGCAAGGUAAAAAUUUUGUAAGAGGAAAUAUAAAGGUCAAAUCUAAAGUAGUCAAAAACGGCCAAUAGUGACUCCCAGACUCCACAGACAAGUCCCUUUGGCGCCACUCAGUGGGCAAAACUACUUUGUCUACUGUAAUGUAUAUUUGGGUCAUCUUUGGCGCCCCCUAAAACGUAAACCGUGGGGUGCAGCGUCAUGAUUUUUACAACUUUGAAUGGCCAUGGAGUGUAGAUUGGCCUGAGCAAAUUUGGUGUCAGUGGGACGAAAGCCUUAGGAGGAGUUAGCGAAAUUCCAAUGUGUGCGAAUCGGCAAAAAAUGCAAAAUAGCCCUUUUACCGUACAUUAUACAGAUACGCGCUCUUUGACUUUUUCGUAGAUCUAAUUGAGAUACACAUGAUUGUCAAUUUUUGUGUCAUUUUGCCAAAGCGUACAGGCGUGACAGUCAACAAUGUGUAUUUUCACCUUAGGGGACAAGAAAAAAUGGACUUUUUUCUCCUGCCAUGGGGGGCGCUCUUUUAGGGAGUAAAAAUUCCUUCACAAAUGUGUUGAUGGCUGGACAUUGCAUCAUCCUAGAAAACUUGGAGGCCAGUGAGGACAAAAAUAAAAAGUUAUAAGACUUUUAAAAAUGUGGAUUUUUGGGUUAUCUUUGGCGCCCCCUAGAACGUAAACCGUGGGGUGCAGCGUCAUGAUUUGAAUAACUUUUAAUGGCCAUGGGGUGUAGAUUGGCCUGAGCAAAUGUGGUGCCGGUGGAACGAAAGCCUUCGGAGGAGUUAGCGAAAUUCCAAUGUGUGCAAAUCGGCAAAAAAUGCGGAAUAACCCUUUAACCGUACAUUUGACAGAUACGCGCGCAUGGACUUUUUUGUAGAUCUUAUUGAGAUACAUGUGUGUGUCAAUUUUUGUGUCAUUUUGACAAAGCGUACAGGCGUGACACUCAACAAUGUGUAUUUUCACCUCAGGGGACAAGAAAAAAUGGACUUUUUUCUCCUGCCAUGGGGGGGCGCUCUUUUGGGGAGUAAAAAUUCCUUCACAAAUGUGUUGAUGGCUGGACAUUGCAUCAUCCUAGAAAACUUGGAGGCCAGUGAGGGCAAAAAUAAAAAGUUAUAAGACUUUUAAAUAUGUGGAUUUUAGGGUUAUCUUUGGCGCCCCCUAGAACCUAAACCGUGGGGUGCAGCGUCAUGAUUUGAAUAACUUUUAAUGGCCAUGGGGUGUAGAUUGGCCUGAGCAAAUGUGGUGCCGGUGGAACGAAAGCCUUCGGAGGAGUUAGCGAAAUUCCAAUGUGUGCAAAUCGGCAAAAAAUGCGGAAUAACCCUUUAACCGUACAUUUGACAGAUACGCGCGCAUGGACUUUUUUGUAGAUCUUAUUGAGAUACAUGUGUGUGUCAAUUUUUGUGUCAUUUUGACAAAGCGUACAGGCGUGACACUCAACAAUGUGUAUUUUCACCUUAGGGGACAAGAAAAAAUGGACUUUUUUCUCCUGCCAUGGGGGGCGCUCUUUUGGGGAGUAAAAAUUCCUUCACAAAUGUGUUGAUGGCUGGACAUUGCAUCAUCCUAGAAAACUUGGAGGCCAGUGAGGACAAAAAUAAAAAGUUAUAAGACUUUUAAAUAUGUGGAUUUUAGGGUUAUCUUUGGCGCCCCCUAGAACCUAAACCGUGGGGUGCAGCGUCAUGAUUUGAAUAACUUUUAAUGGCCAUGGGGUGUAGAUUGGCCUGAGCAAAUGUGGUGCCGGUGGAAAGAAAGCCUUUGGAGGAGUUAGCGAAAUUCCAAUGUGUGCGGAUCGGCAAAAAAUGCGAAAUAACCCUUUAACCGUACAUUUGACAGAUACGCCCGCACUGACUUUUUUGUAGAUCUUAUUGAGAUACAUGUGUGUGUCAAUUUUUGUGUCAUUUUGACAAAGCGUACAGGCGUGACAGUCAAUAGUGUGAAUUUUCACCUUAGGGGGCGCUAUGGAGCCAUUUUGCAUUUUCUUGUUUGGCCGACUUCGGAAUAUCAAAUUUUUCACCAGGCCCGGUCGUCCUGCCAAAUUUCAUGAGUUUUCGCCAGUGGGAAGUGGGCCAUUUUCCAGUUCAAAGGGGAGGAAAAAGAAGAAAGAAAGAAAGAAAGAAAGAAAGAAAGAAAGAAACAAAGAAAAACCACUUGGGGAAUAAUAGGGCUCUCGCAGCUGCUUAGCAGCUACGCUCGGGCCCUAAAAAACCCCUACAGGAAUAACAGGGCCUACGCCCGGCUGCUCUGCAGCUGGCUCGGGCCCUAACUAGGACCCCGUUGGGGCACUGGCGGGCCCGAGCUGUGUCGCGUCCCCCCCCCAACGCGCUGCCUCCCCGUCCCAUUUGUGUCCUCUGGCCAUCGCCCUCUCUGGUAACGCCCAUCACUGCAAAGACCCUUUUCCUUCAUCGGCGUUUGCUGUUCUUCCUGCCAGUGCGUGUUGCUUUCACUUACACUUGCCACAGCCAGCCUCGUGAGUGCCUAGCCUAUUGGAUAUCACUGUCACGUACACAGGACAGUCAUUACCUUUCUAUUAAUACUUUGUUUUUUAAUUUCACAUUAAUUUCCAUAUUGUAUAAACAACUGGAAAAAACUUGAGCCCCUGCCCCUGUAUAAUCAUGUGCACGUCUCUGUUCUAGCUCUAAGGUGAAUCUUCACUGCUCAUGUUCUCCUCAGAAGCAGUCACCUCACUCCCCUCAGGUUACUGUACACAUGCACCAACUGCCUGCUUCAGGUUUGGAUGGAGCUUCAUGGUUGUCUUUUGGAGAAAUGACUAGUCAAGUUGUGUUUGAAAUUUGAUUUUUUUCAGGGGCAAAAGGAGCCUCUGCAUUCUUGUCAAAUAUGUAAAUAGCAUGUUUUUGCAGGUGCUAAAAACCAGACCCUGAGUGUGUGUGUGUGUGCGUGUGUGUGUGUGUCUGUGUGUGUGUGUGUGUGUGUGUGUGUGUGUGUGUGUGUGUGUGCGUUCAAGUCACAUGACAUAUUUAACCGGAUGUAGCUGCAAGACGGAGCCUCGUUGACUCUCCGUUUCAAUUUAUCUCAAAAGUGAGGACCUCAACCUAUAUACCAGUUUUUAAAUUGUGUUGAUAGGCCAAAUAAAACCAGAGUUAUGAUAAAUUAUUUCCGCGAUACUUGUUUUCUGCUUAUUUUGAUCACGUUCGGCGCUCGAUCGCGCUGUAUGAGACAGGAAAACAUAGCAUGCAGACAUUAGCGACAGGUCUUACAGGCGGAAAAGGCUUGCCAAAGGAAAAAAAAAACACACCACAACAUCUCUCCUAUUGGUGGAAAACUUCACCACAACAACCAAUCCAAAAUUAUAUGGUGACUGAUUGACAAGGGGCCGGAACUUACGUUCUUCCUGCAAUAUGAGAAGGGAGGGAGGGACUCUCAGCAGGGAUGCAGUCUGGGACACGUAGUUGCAAACCUAGCGACUUUGUUGUUAGAUUCAAUGACUUUUCAGACCCCCUAACGACUUUUUUUAGAAAGAAAGUGACUUUUAUCGACUUCUUCUGGAGUUUAGAGACUCUGACAUGAAGCAGGCUUUCCUUACUGAGGAGUUAGCAACGCUGCUAAGGGUGCAGAGCCACACAUGCGCUCCGAGCUCUGCAUGGGAGACUGAAGCUGACAGAGCUGCAGCAGUUAGCAGGUUUCACCCUCAGAGACCACCAGGGGUUCAUGUUGAGGCAUUUUCAGUUUUUUUUUUUUUGCCAUAGACACUGUCAGCACAAUCUGCAGUUACACUAACAAAAAUGCUGCAAAAAACAAAGAAUUAUGGAAAAAUUACACAUGGACUAACAUAGAGGAGGAUCUACACAAGUUUUUUACAUCAUGUUUUACAUCAUGCAUCAUGUACAUCAUGUUUUUUUGUAGUGGCAUAAAUAAAAAGUGACAUUUGUGAGACUAUACAGUGUUUUGUAAAUAAUUUUACAAAGAACACCUGGGCCAUUGCCUGCAUUUUGAUGUAAAUAGAUGUAAAUUACUAUGUUCUUUGUUAAAAAUUUGCAUAUGUUUUGAAGUUUACAAUUUUUAUUUGAAGUUUAAGUUUUAAAAACAGUUCAUCACACAUAUUUGUGGUUUUCACAGUAAAAACGUUACUUUUUUCCACUCGGAUUUUAUGUUUUGUGUGUGAAUUUGGGUCCAAUGUGUAAAUAUAGUAUGUCAAAAUGAUAAAAUAACUGUAAAUUGACACAGGUGAGGUUGUGCUGAAAAAAAUGAUACCAGGCAAGGCAAGGUAAAAAUUUUGUAAGAGGAAAUAUAAAGGUAAAAUCUAAAGUAGUCAAAAACGGCCAAUAGUGACUCACGGACUCCACAGACAAGUCCCUUUGGCGCCACUCAGUGGGCAAAACUACUUUGUCUACUGUAAUGUAUAUUUGGGUCAUCUUUGGCGCCCCCUAAAACGUAAACCGUGGGGUGCAGCGUCAUGAUUUUUACAACUUUGAAUGGCCAUGGAGUGUAGAUUGGCCUGAGCAAAUUUGGUGUCAGUGGGACGAAAGCCUUAGGAGGAGUUAGUGAAAUUCCAAUGUGUGCGAAUCGGCAAAAAAUGCAAAAUAGCCCUUUUACCGUACAUUAUACAGAUACGCGCUCUUUGACUUUUUCGUAGAUCUAAUUGAGAUACACGUGAUUGUCAAAUUUUGUGUCAAUAUGACAAAGCGUAUAGGCGUGAAUCUCAACAAUAUGUAUUUUCACCUUAAGGGACAAGAAAAAAUGGACUUUUUUCUCCUGCCAUGGGGGGGCGCUCUUUUGGGGAGUAAAAAUUCCUUCACAAAUGUGUUGAUGGCUGGACAUUGCAUCAUCCUAGAAAACUUGGAGGCCAGUGAGGACAAAAAUAAAAAGUUAUAAGACUUUUAAAUAUGUGGAUUUUAGGGUUAUCUUUGGCGCCCCCUAGAACCUAAACCGUGGGGUGCAGCGUCAUGAUUUUGAUAACUUUUAAUGGCCAUGGGGUGUAGAUUGGCCUGAGCAAAUGUGGUGCCGGUGGAACGAAAGCCUUAGGAGGAGUUAGCCACAUUCCAAUGUGUGCGGAUCGGCAAAAAAUGCGGAAUAACCCUUUAACCGUACAUUUGACAGAUACGCGCGCAUUGACUUUUUCGUAGAUCUUAUUGAGUUACAUGUGUGUGUCAAGUUUUGUGUCAUUUUGACAAAGCGUAUAGGCGUGACACUCAACAAUGUGUAUUUUCACCUUAGGGGACAAGAAAAAAUGGACUUUUUUCUUCUGCCAUGGGGGGGCGCUCUUUUGGGGAGUAAAAAUUCCUUCACAAAUGUGUUGAUGGCUGGACAUUGCAUCAUCCUAGAAAACUUGGAGGCCAGUGAGGACAAAAAUAAAAAGUUAUAAGACUUUGAAAUAUGUGGAUUUUAGUGUUAUCUUUGGCGCCCCCUAGAACCUAAACCUUGGGGUGCAGCGUCAUGAUUUUGAUAACUUUUAAUGGCCACGGGGUGUAGAUUGGCCUGAGCAAAUGUGGUGCCGGUGGAACGAAAGCCUUCGGAGGAGUUAGCGAAAUUCCAAUGUGUGCGGAUCGGCAAAAAAUGCGAAAUAACCCUUUAACCGUAAUUUUGACAGAUACGGCCGCACUGACUUUUUUGUAGACCGUAUUGAGAUACAUAUGUGUGUCAAUUUUUGUGUCAAUAUGACAAAGCAUACAGGCGUGACAGUCAAUAGUGUGAAUUUCCACCUUAGGGGGCGCUAUGGAGCCAUUUUGCAUUUUAUUGUUUGGGCGACUUCAGAAUAUCGAAUUUUUCACCAGGCCCGGUCGUCCUGCCAAAUUUCAUGAGUUUUCGCCAGUGGGAAGUGGGCCAUUUUCCAGUUCAAAGGGGAGGAAAAAGAAGAAACUAGGGCCCCGUUGGGGCACUGGCGGGCCCGAGCCGCGUUGCGCCGCCCCCAGUGCGACCGCCUCCCCCUCCCGAUCGCGUCACACUCAAGGUCCAAAGAUGGUGUGCGCACUUGUCUGUGGUCAUUUCCCAUUAUAAUUAAUGGGAGGCGCAGUUUCUACCAAAACACUCGCUGCAGACAAACUACAUGUCCUAUUUGAAAAAAGUCUGGACCAUGAGUGAGGGCACAAACACAGCUAGGAUAUAUCCAAACGGCAAGUUGCUCCUCGUUACGGUGUUGCCGGGAGAGCGAUGCGAUUGAGCCAUUGUGUGAUGGGCAGGAAAAACUUGACUGUUUCUCCUGCCAUGGGGGAUGGGGGAUGGGAGGGGGGGAAAGGGAUGUGGAUUCUUUUAAGAAUGUGGAUAUUUGGGUCAUCUUUGGCGCCCCCUAGAACGUAAACCGUGGGGUGCAGCGUCAUGAUUUUUAAAUCUUUGAAUGGCCAUGGGGUGUAGAUUGGCCUGAGCAAAUUUGGUGUCAGUGGGACGAAAGCCUUAGGAGGAGUUAGCCACAUUCCAAUGUGUGCUAAUCAGCAAAAAAUGCAAAAUAGCCCUUUAACCGUACAUUUUACAGAUACGCGCGCACUGACUUUUUCGUAGAUCUUAUUGAGAUACAUGUGUGUGUCAAAUUUUGUGUCAAUAUGACAAAGCAUACAGGUAUGACAGUCAACAAUGUGUAUUUUCACCUUAUGGGACAAGAAAAAAUUGACUUUUUUCUCCUGCCAUGGGGGGGCGCUCUUUUAGGGAGUAAAAAUUCCUUCACAAAUGUGUUGAUGGCUGGACAUUGCAUCAUCCUAGAAAACUUGGAGGCCAGAGAAGACACAAAUAAAAAGUUAUAAGACUUUUAAAUAUGUGGAUUUUAGGGUUAUCUUUGGCGCCCCCUAGAACCUAAACCGUGGGGUGCAGCGUCAUGAUUUGAAUAACUUUUAAUGGCCAUGGGGUGUAGAUUGGCCUGAGCAAAUGUGGUGCCGGUGGAACGAAAGCCUUCGGAGGAGUUAGCGAAAUUCCAAUGUGUGCGGAUCGGCAAAAAAUGCACAAUAACCCUUUAACCGUACAUUUGACAGAUACGCCCGCACUGACUUUUUUGUAGAUCUUAUUGAGAUACAUGUGUGUGUCAAUUUUUGUGUAAUUUUGACAAAGCGUACAGGCGUGACAGUCAAUAGUGUGAAUUUUCACCUUAUGGAACAAGAAAAAAUGGACUUUUUUCUCCUGCCAUGGGGGGGCGCUCUUUUGGGGAGUAAAAAUUCCUUCACAAAUGUGUUGAUGGCUGGACAUUGCAUCAUCCUAGAAAACUUGGAGGCCAGUGAGGGCAAAAAUAAAAAGUUAUAAGACUUUGAAAUAUGUGGAUUUUAGGGUUAUCUUUGGCGCCCCCUAGAACAUAAACCGUGGGGUGCAGCGUCAUGAUUUGAAUAACUUUUAAUGGCCAUGGGGUGUAGAUUGGCCUGAGCAAAUGUGGUGCCGGUGGAACGAAAGCCUUCGGAGGAGUUAGCGAAAUUCCAAUGUGUGCGGAUCGGCAAAAAAUGCACAAUAACCCUUUAACCGUACAUUUGACAGAUACGCCCGCACUGACUUUUUUGUAGAUCUUAUUGAGAUACAUGUGUGUGUCAAUU